GGGAAAAGUCAUGGGUUCUACGGAAAUCCACGGGAAUUCUCAAUUUCACGUUUGUUUGUCCGACGAUACCUGCAAGUGCAACGCGGUAUCACAAACGAUACACACUUUGACGCAGUUGGUCAUCGUUGGUUUCUCUAUAAACUAUCGCUAACGUCUGAUCGACUUGAAUUCUUCAAAAUUUUCUUCAGUCAAAUAACUCAUGUAUCAGCUGCUUCUUCGAAAUUCCGUAUUUUUAAUACAGACGUCUUGCCCGUCUUACAUUCCUUUCUCCCGAUGUUUCUUCCGAUGUGAAGAACUGAAAGAACUCAUGUGCAGUGAAUAUCUCUCAGAAACGGUACUUCGGACCGAGCCUUGGACUUUAAGACACCGAGCGCGUAAUCUUCAAGUCUUCAGCUUUGCAAGUUCAGUCAACGUCAAGUAGAAAUCUACAAACUGAUGUUUACGAAUAAUUAAAAUUGUGUGUGUUCGUCUUGAUUGUAAAGAGCGUGGUAUAUAUUUUGGUAUACCUGUUGAACGAAGGAGGAAUUCGACGACAGGAAAGUCGAUUUGCGAGUGUAUCAAGGACCCUUUACGAGUCGACAGAUGGACAGAACGAUCGAAGACCGGUUAAACACCGUUUCUCUCCAUAUCCUGCUACUGGAUUCCCGCGCGAAGAUACACCUGUGUGCGUGGAUACGCGCGGGGGGCCAACGUGUGUGAUCCAGUGACCCACUAUGUUCAUCGGCGCUGCUACGUGAGUUUAUGACUAAAAUUAUGCGACCGUGCCAUUCAAUCUUUCUCACCGGAGCAAAUGGUAACUUUCGCAUUCCUUCGCCGAUUUCUGUCUUUUCUCUCGUGACGUCGCGCGACAACGAAUUGGAUUUCAGUCCAUCAGAUCUUUAAAGUGCCUUUGCUACGUCGAUAUUUGUUUUCCAACACCUCGUCUCUCUAUAUCCGUUUUUAAAGCCACGAGAGUGUAAUAUCAACGUGCGUUUAGAUUUAUUAUUAAAAAAACGAAGAAUUAAAAAUUAUGUCACGCAGCUUUAUAUAAGCGUUCGGCACGAUUGAAAUUAGAAACGUAAGAGGCAUCGACCUUUUUCAGUCGUUUCUCCGGUCGUUCGACAAAUUCUUUUACAGUAACUUUCAGCAGAAAGUAUUUGGAAAGAACGGGUGCCAUUCGGGAUUGAAGGUUCAUUGCACUCGAUGGGAAGCUUGAUGAAAGGAGAUCGAGGCUGGAUGUUGCCACAUGUUUUAUUUUAUGAAUAUCGUUCGUUGUUCUUCACGGUCGUCGUUAUAAAUUAAUGUGAGAACGAGGUAAACUUCUCUUUGAAUUUUCCACCCGUCUCGUAUCUGUUAAUCAUAUAAAUAGAUAUUUAUAACUUGCGAAUGAAAUUCGAGAUAGAAAAUUAAAAUGAUAUUAAUUUAUUAAACUAUUCGACGAUAACAAACGAUAGCAACAAGCGAUAACAACGGAGAAGAUUUAUUCAAACUCGUGAAAAUAAAAAAAGACGAUUCUCUAAACGAUUUGAAAACUGUAUAUACACUGUGAAAGACUAAUUGAAACAAAGUUAGGUCGUUGAAAAUAUUACGAUACUUAUAAUUACGAGUUCUAACGAGCAUCAGAAGAAAGAGAGGAAGGAAUAAAAUAGUAAAUCGCAUUAUGGCCUCCUUCGCUGCAUAAAAAUCGACAUUAGCAUUCCUCGAGCUAGCAUUUGCAUGAUAAAGCGUUGUACACUUUCAUGCAACACGCACGUCGUCUUCAAUCGUCACGAUUAAUGAACCAACGCUCUGUCAUACAUCUUCGUCAACGAAACUAGAUAAAAAUUAAUAUUAAUAUUUAUUGUCGCGAGAAACGAAGAUCGUACAGCUCGUCACCGACUCAACUACAAAAUGUCCUCCAACUUGACUCGUGCCGGUAACUAUUCAACAUUUAUUAUUACCUUACUACGCAUGCCGUAUCUUUUUUUCUUUCCAGAACAAAGAAUUUCGAGAUUCGGAAUUGAAUCCGUGGAAUUUCUUGAUUUCCUUUCAUAACGAGGCGAAACGGACACGCUCACACAUACACGCGAAUAUACAUAUGGAUAAAUUGUUCCUAACUAACACUUCCAUCGUGUACAGAGAUGCCUUUCUUUCAGUCUUUGCGCAAAAUUCUGUACGAAUUUUGCAUGUCAAUGUUACACACACCAACAUUAUUUCCCUUAGACUCACUAUAGUUCUGGAUCUGAAAUGCGUGGAAUAUGUUCUGAAUCCAUUCACGUACGAGUAGAUUACUGUAACACAAAAUAUUGGAAGAACGUGAGACAGAUGUUAAAGUAAAUCUGAGUAAAAGGAGAGUACAUUUAACUGUAAAAGCAAAGGGGGAGACGCGACAGAAUUAUUUGGAAC